rnacentral:tRNA from 1 species
GCUCGAAUAGCUCAGUUGGUAGAGCGCGUGACUAGUAAUCACGAGGUCUGGAGUUCGAGUCUCCAUUCGAGCA